CCCGCGCGGCCCGCGCGCACGGAUACUCGAUAUUCGGCAUGUGCUCCGCUAUAAAUCACCGCCCGCCCCGGUGCGCCCACCUCCGCUUGCUCGCUUCCAUUCAUUUCGCUCGCACAGACGCACCGCACGCACGGUCACGGUGAGUGGAGGGAGAAGGAAGGAGGACGGUCGGAAGGAUUUAGGUGGCGGCUGCGAGGAGGCGAUGGGGUGCGCGCGGACGGUGAAGGCCGGGGCGGCGG
rnacentral:lncRNA from 1 species